rfam:Lactobacillus brevis ATCC 367, complete genome.
CACAUAUGACUGGGGUGCCACUAUGGCUGAGAUUAAACCCAUUGAACCUGCUCUGGUUAGGACCAGCGAAGGGAACGCGUCUAAUUUAGACU